GUGGGGAAUUUUGGACAAUGGGCGCAAGCCUGAUCCAGCAAUGCCGCGUGCAGGAAGAAGGCCUUCGGGUUGUAAACUGCUUUUGUACGGAACGAAACGGUCCGGGUUAAUACCCUGGGCUAAUGACGGUACCGUAAGAAUAAGCACCGGCUAACUACGUGCCAGCAGCCGCGGUAAUACGUAGGGUGCAAGCGUUAAUCGGAAUUACUGGGCGUAAAGCGUGCGCAGGCGGUUUUGUAAGACAGGCGUGAAAUCCCCGGGCUCAACCUGGGAAUUGCGCUUGUGACUGCAAGGCUGGAGUGCGGCAGAGGGGGAUGGGAUUCCGCGUGUAGCAGUGAAAUGCGUAGAUAUGCGGAGGAACACCGAUGGCGAAGGCAAUCCCCUGGGCCUGCACUGACGCUCAUGCACGAAAGCGUGGGGAGCAAACAGGAUUAGAAACCCCAGUAGUCC
rnacentral:rRNA from 1 species